rnacentral:tRNA from 1 species
GUGGUUAAGAUGGCCCAGUGGUUAAGAACACUGACUGCUCUUCCAGAGGUCCUGAGUUCAAAUCCCAGCAACCACA